rnacentral:tRNA from 1 species
GGAGAGGUACCCAAGUGGCUCAAGGGGAGGGUUUGCUAAACCCUUAGGUCGGAUUUUUCCGGCGCGCAGGUUCGAAUCCUGUUCUCUCCGCCA